rnacentral:rRNA from 1 species
UGGGGAAUUUUGGACAAUGGGCGCAAGCCUGAUCCAGCAAUGCCGCGUGCAGGAUGAAGGCCUUCGGGUUGUAAACUGCUUUUGUACGGAACGAAACGGUCHKYUCUAAUACAGUGGGCUAAUGACGGUACCGUAAGAAUAAGCACCGGCUAACUACGUGCCAGCAGCCGCGGUAAUACGUAGGGUGCGAGCGUUAAUCGGAAUUACUGGGCGUAAAGCGUGCGCAGGCGGUUAUAUAAGACAGAUGUGAAAUCCCCGGGCUCAACCUGGGACCUGCAUUUGUGACUGUAUAGCUAGAGUACGGUAGAGGGGGAUGGAAUUCCGCGUGUAGCAGUGAAAUGCGUAGAUAUGCGGAGGAACACCGAUGGCGAAGGCAAUCCCCUGGACCUGUACUGACGCUCAUGCACGAAAGCGUGGGGAGCAAACAGGAUUAGAUACCCUGGUAGUCCACGCCCUAAACGAUGUCAACUGGUUGUUGGGUCUUCACUGACUCAGUAACGAAGCUAACGCGUGAAGUUGACCGCCUGGGGAGUACGGCCGCAAGGUUG